UACGAAGGUGGCAAGCGUUGUUCGGAUUUACUGGGCGUACAGGGAGCGUAGGCGGUUGGAUAAGCCCUCCGUGAAAUCCCCGGGCUCAACCCGGGAACUGCGUCCGAGACUGGAAGGCUUGAAUCCGGGAGAGGGAUGUGGAAUUCCAGGUGUAGCGGUGAAAUGCGUAGAUAUCUGGAGGAACAUCGGUGGCGAAGGCGGCAUCCUGGACCGGUAUUGACGCUGAGGCGCGAAAGCGUGGGGAGCAAACAGG
rnacentral:rRNA from 1 species